UACGUAGGGGGCAAGCGUUGUCCGGAUUUAUUGGGCGUAAAGAGCGUGUAGGCGGUUUGGUAGGUCCGUUGUGAAAACUCGAGGCUCAACCUCGAGACGCCGGCGGAAACCAUCAGGCUAGAGUCCGGAAGAGGAGAGUGGAAUUCCUGGUGUAGCGGUGAUAUGCGUAGAUAUCGGGAGGAACACCGACGGCGCAGGCAGCGUCCUGGCCGAUUGCUGACACUGAGGCACGAAAGCUGGGGGAGCAAACAGG
rnacentral:rRNA from 1 species